UACGUAGGGUGCGAGCGUUAAUCGGAAUUACUGGGCGUAAAGCGUGCGCAGGCGGUUCGUUAAGUCAGAUGUGAAAGCCCCGGGCUCAACCUGGGAACUGCAUUUGAAACUGGCGGGCUUGAGUGUGGCAGAGGGGGGGUGGAAUUCCGCGUGUAGCAGUGAAAUGCGUAGAGAUGUGGAGGAAUACCGAUGGCGAAGGCAGCCCCCCUGGGAUAACACUGACGCUCAUGCACGAAAGCGUGGGGAGCAAACAGG
rnacentral:rRNA from 1 species